GUAACACGUAGGUAACCUGCCUAUAAGACUGGGAUAACUCCGGGAAACCGGGGCUAAUACCGGAUAACAUUUUGCACCGCAUGGUGCGAAAUUGAAAGGCGGCUUCGGCUGUCACUUAUAGAUGGACCUGCGGCGCAUUAGCUAGUUGGUGAGGUAACGGCUCACCAAGGCGACGAUGCGUAGCCGACCUGAGAGGGUGAUCGGCCACACUGGGACUGAGACACGGCCCAGACUCCUACGGGAGGCAGCAGUAGGGAAUCUUCCGCAAUGGACGAAAGUCUGACGGAGCAACGCCGCGUGAGCGAUGAAGGCCUUCGGGUCGUAAAGCUCUGUUGUUAGGGAAGAACAAGUGCUAGUUGAAUAAGCUGGCACCUUGACGGUACCUAACCAGAAAGCCACGGCUAACUACGUGCCAGCAGCCGCGGUAAUACGUAGGUGGCAAGCGUUAUCCGGAAUUAUUGGGCGUAAAGCGCGCGCAGGUGGUUUCUUAAGUCUGAUGUGAAAGCCCACGGCUCAACCGUGGAGGGUCAUUGGAAACUGGGAGACUUGAGUGCAGAAGAGGAAAGUGGAAUUCCAUGUGUAGCGGUGAAAUGCGUAGAGAUAUGGAGGAACACCAGUGGCGAAGGCGACUUUCUGGUCUGCAACUGACACUGAGGCGCGAAA
rnacentral:rRNA from 1 species